GCUACCCAGCUAUUCUGGAUUUUCUUCAGGACAGUCUGAUCUCAGAAGGUAAACAGGCUUAUGCUGACUAGUACUUGGAUGGGAGACUCCCUAGGAACGUUGGGUGUUCUCAGCA
rnacentral:rRNA from 1 species